UUUUGUAGGUCACCUUAUAGAGACGAUUUGUUGAUGCAUGUGCAGGCUUACUCUGUAUAUGCAACAUACAUGUAGGUUACCUGCAUGGUUCAAUCUAAAUCAAUUUCAAUCCAAAUAAUCUCAUUUCAUGGUAAACUACUGAAGCGUAGUUUCACUGCACUUCGAUUGUCAUUCACAGAUGGGGCCACAAUAUAAAAAGCCUUCUCCUUAGUUGACGUCACAGAUAUGUCACCUGAAUAUGUCAACAAAAUAUUGAACAAAUUUAUAUGUUCAUCGUUCAAAGGUCAUUUUCAAAAAAACUCAAAUACACAAAGCAUUUAAAACAGUUUUCAUAGUUCAGAUGUAAAGUGUCCUUUCGCAGUUAUCAGCCAUGGAAUUAAAAAACCGGUCUUUCAAUUUAAAAGUGUCCAUCUGGACAUUUAUAUAAAGCUAUCGGCUGCAUAUUAAAGCUUGGCUAUUCGAAUUUGCAUAUAAACAAAUAGUUUAAAAAUGCAAUCGAAGAAAUCAAACUUGUAUUUGGUUUAAGAAUAAAUCGUAUUUCUUUGUUUUCAAUUCGAAAGCAUGUUUAAACUUUUCUAAUUCACAAAUGCUCUUGUUACCUGCUAAUCUGAUUGCUAAAUUCAAGUACUACAUAUCAACAUCGCGCAUAGACCUUAGCUUCCAAAGGCAUUGUCCAAGUGUCUCUUGAAAUUGCAGAUGAUAUAAUUGAUAAAUGACCAGGUAAAUUGCAACAGGGUUUCUGACAGACAGAAAAUCUUGGCCAGAGUUGGACCACAUUUUUCCAAACGAGACUCUGUCGCUCAAGCGAGAGAGCCUACUUUUGAAAUGGAGACUGAAAGAAGUAUAAAGAAUUUGUAUCUUUCUUUCAAUAAACAAAUUGAAAACAUCUGCUGCGACGAUAGUUAACACUUAAGUAAAAUGAAAACAAAAUCAAGCUGAAAAUUCAAAAAGGAGAAACACCUUCAUAAGAUUAACUUGCAUGCAAUUUCAUAUUUUCAAGAACAAACAACUUAUCAGAAUGACCGUUAAAUUAAGACGAAUUUCGUAGCUUAAACUAAAUGAACUUGAGAGCGUGAAAUCUAAUUUGGACCACGGUUACCACAGUAGAGAUCAUAUUUGCUCAGUUCAUAUACUUGAAAAUCACAUUUAGUGGUGUUGUUUUCAAAUUUUACAGAAAAAAUUCUUAAUGUCAGUUUUGAAACAUUCCCUCCGAAAAAGUCAUCCUGAAUGCAUAAUAUUUAACAACCGAUAGAAAGUUUCCUUUUUUGUGUUCAUGGCUUUUAACAUGUUUCUCCAUUGCAAGCACUGUGUAAUUAGAAUCUAGUGUAGAAGCCUUGAUUCAUGGGGUGUGGAACUGAACGACGAUUACUAGUUGUAUAAUGAACGAGGAAAUUACAUUUUGGAUGCCGAACACAUGGUUCUACAAAGUCAAUGAAUUUGAAUGUAUUUGUGAUUAAAAUGAACGGGAAAAGCUACACAAUAUGAUUUUUAAUAGCUUCUCGCUUUCCCUUUAAUAGGCUUCACUGUUCAAAAACUCAUUUCUUUUUAUGACACAUUUGUUAUCGGUGUUUUUUGAGCUCGUUUUCAAUCCUACCGACAGUGUUAAGCUUCUUGAAUGAUCUCUAUUUAAUUUUGAAGUAACAUGUUUUUCUUUUUAGUUUUGUUCUUCCAUGUUCAGGAUUGUAUGACGUAAACUUUUGAACCAAGGAGAAAUCACACGUCAGAACCUGAUAAGUCAGGACAACUUUUUCAGCUGUUUGUUUUGUGUUUUGUGUUGUUGUGGUGUUUGCUGUUUUGUAUUAUUUGGGGGUUUGGAUGUUUUCUAAUUUUAGUCAGUUUUUUUUUAUUUUCAUACAUUUUCUGCAUGAAAAGUUUUCUUUCCUAAUCGUUUCUUGUCUUUAUCCUUACUUUAUCUGUAUUUGAUGUGCCGUUUGAGUGAGCUAUUCAACAGUUGUUUUACCAUCAGUCGUUUUGCUAUCAUAUACCGUCGUUUUUUACUGUCGUUUUUGAACUCUUGUAGCUUUUGGGGAGUUUAAGUUUCAAACCCUAGGUUCAGUUUGAUUCCUUUAUGUGAUGUGGAGCUAAUACACUUUGUCUGUUGUUCUUUAGUUUCUGUAUUUUUAUGUCUAGAAAAUGGAUGUACAUGUGUGGAGCCUCUGGCUAGAUUGCUGAUCUGAGCUGAAGACACUGGUUCGUUAGUGUCGACAAGACUAGUGCUACAGUGAAAUGAAAGGUCUGCUAAUUUUAUUUGUUUAAUCAAAAUAUAAUCGAACACACCUUUUUAUCUGCACCCACUUUGCACCACCCACCUUGCACCCACAGUGGUUCGUGCGCUCUACCUGUUUUUUAUCGGAUACAUAUUUUCCGUCGUUUUGUCGCGUUCGUUUCCGCGUCGUUUCGCUCGGAUUUGCUUUCGGAUUCUCGUUUCGUUCACCUGCGGGAUUUAGUGUUCUUUUUAUUGAAGAUGGUGUCUAUUAAUUCUUAGAGUAUGAAAUGUAAGAAGCAGGAGCAUGGGAACUGAAGAUGACUGGUCACUUUACAACGAUAUGUGCCUCACUGAAGGGUAUAAGUUAAGUAAUUAGCAAAACAGAUUGGCUUGUACAGUUAGCAAAAGGUUUUACCUUUCGAGUUUCAUUUUUCUCUUUCUAUGCAUAAUGGCGUAUUGUUGGCUGUCUUCAUUAUUGUUUUGCAGGUACAUGUAGGUUUUUUUUAGUGUAUCUUGAAAAAAUAAGUUUAUUCAUUAAACAUUCCAUGAGCAGAUGUUCGAUUUCGUGGAGGGAGUGGACUGUUGACGACUGAUCAACUCGAACAGCAAAUAAAAUUAUGUGAGUUCUAUUCUUGAAAAAGUCUUGCUCUUUUUUUAAUUGUCUCUUCACUGUCUUUUAUGGGUCAUUCCUUAUUUCUCAGGUAAUACUCGACACUUUAUUUUCCGUGGUUCGUGUAUACUGCCAUUGCUGUUUUAUCUUGUAAUUUCUUUUCCCAUUUUUGUUUUCACUGGUAGGUUUUGUGCUUAUGUGUGUCGUUUGUGCAUUUUAUGACAUGAUGUUAUGUUUUUCUAGUUUACUUUCUGUCUAGAAACUGUAACCCGGGAGUAAACUGGCAUUGAUCGGACACAGGACUCUGAAUGGUUUGUUUUUAAAAUAAAUAAAUAAAAGUGUUUUCUCUAAGACGUUUAAUCAUCUUUCAAUUGUGUUUUCAUACCAGUUGUUUUUCUUCUUGUGGAUGGCUUUUUAUAACUUUGUGUUUAAGAUGCCCUUGCAUUUUGGUUUUGUUUAUUUUGAGUAUUUCCAUUUAAUUUUAAUUAACGAGGAGUUAAGCUGAUCUUGAUUUUUCCCUCUCUAGUUUUCUCUUUUGAUAUCUAGGAACAGGAAAAUGGAAGCAUUUUAAUAAUUGAAUUGAAGCAAGCUUCAGAGACAUCAGUCGGUGCCAUCGCUGUUGGAAAUAAUUUGUACACUCAAAGGGGUGAUUUGGCUAUUGGACUGAUGAUCAGGUUUAAGCACGUACCACAGAAUUACAUGAAGACUAAACAGAAAAGUGCAUGUAACUAAAACUUAUUCAUAGAUUGCAUUCAGAGUGAAACCUUUUUGAUGCUUGAAAAAGGACAGAGUUUGAAUCUAUAGCACAUUAAUGCUACUGUUGAGAUGAAUUUUAUUGUUGAACAUUAAUUUGUUUGUAUUUCUUUCCCAUUAACUGCCAAGGGAUUAAAUGCCGGAAGGGUGUUAUAACCAAAUGGAUGAACUUAAGAUGACUAUCGGAGAUAAUACGAAUAUCCAAUCUGAUAGAAGAUGCUUAUCGUGUGUGCUGGUUUAUUCCUCCGUAUAUGUCCAAGAAUGGAGACAGUCGAAAACAAAGCAUAGAGUUUCGAAGACCUCCUACCAUUAGUCACCGUCGCCAGUUUUUGAAAGGGCUUUAUGUGUGCAUUGGGAGUUGAUGGUCAUCAGGCUCAUGAGCUUGCUUCUAGCCUGCUGUGGUGUCACAUACAAGAGAUGUAAAAGGAGAGAUUGGCUCCGUCUCCGUCUGCUAAGAACAAGACAACGCCGACUUCAUUUCUGUUGUCAAUUAGCAUACUUUCAAUAGGAAAACAUUCAGACUAACGAUGAACUUGCGAAAUUGCCAGUGUUAUUUUAGACUUUGUAUUAAAUAGCCCAUUGAAGUUCCUGAUGUUAUAUUUCGACUGACCACUGUUAUAUUUAAAGUCUAUAAAAACUAUGAGUAAUAAGUAAAAGCAAUUGUAUAUCGGUGUGGGAGCAGAGAAACUCGGAUGAAAGCAUUCAUAGCAAUUACCAUAGGAAACCCAAAAGAAUGUAUGUGAAUGUUUUAUUUGACUUAGGCAAAACUCCUCAAAAAUUUAUUCACCCUAACACACCAACAUUGUCAUACUAACUAUUACACCAUCCAGCAGGACUAACUUAGCCUAAGGCAAAUGAAACGUUCAUGCUUGGAAUUCUUUAGUAAAUGUGUAAAAGCAGUAAGUGCCAAACUGCAUUCACUGAAUUUCAGUGUUCCCACUACCUUAAUGUAAUGUUAUGUUAUAGACUGAUACCUCACUGUAUGCCUGUUUUCUAGUAUCCUUUGAGCUUGGAAUUUUUAUACU